rnacentral:rRNA from 1 species
GGAAGGUGCGAGCGUUAAUCGGAAUCACUGGGCGUAAAGCGCGCGUAGGCGGCUAGGUAAGUCAGAUGUGAAAGCCCUGGGCUCAACCUGGGAACUGCAUUUGAUACUGCCUGGCUAGAGUGUGGUAGAGGGAAGUGGAAUUCCGCAUGUAGCGGUGAAAUGCGUAGAGAUGCGGAGGAACACCAAUGGCGAAGGCAACUUCCUGGAUCAACACUGACGCUGUGGUGCGAAAGCGUGGGGAGCAAACAGGAUUAGAUACCCUGGUAGUCCCACGCUGUAAACGAUGGGUACUAGCCGUUGGGGGUAGUUUAUCCCUUAGUGGCGCAGCUAACGCGAUAAGUACCCCCCGCCUGGGAGUACGGCCGCAAGGUUA